rnacentral:rRNA from 1 species
AACGAACGCUGGCGGCAUGCCUAACACAUGCAAGUCGAACGAGACCUUCGGGGCUAGUGGCGCACGGGUGCGUAACGCGUGGGAAUCUGCCCUUCGGUUGGGAAUAACUGAGAGAAAUUUCAGCUAAUACCUUAUAAUGUCUUCGGACCAAAGAUUUAUCGCCGAGGGAUGAGCCCGCGUAGGAUUAGGUAGUUGGUGGGGUAAUGGCCUACCAAGCCGACGAUCCUUAGCUGGUCAGAGAGGAUGAUCAGCCACACUGAGACUGAGACACGGCCCAGACUCCAACAGGAGGCAGCAGUGGGGAAUAUUGGAAAGUGGGCGAGAGGCUGAUCGAGCGAUGCCGCGUGAGUGAUAAAGGCCUUAGGGUUGUAAAGCUCUUUUCCACGGGAUGAUCAUGACAGUACCGGGAGAAUAAGCCCCGGCUAACUACGUG